rnacentral:rRNA from 1 species
GACGAACGCUGGCGGCGUGCUUAACACAUGCACGUCGAGCGGCGCGGCGAACGGGUGAGUAACGCGUGAGUAACUGCCCCCCUCUCUGGGAUAACAGUUGGAAACGGCUGCUAAUACCGGAUAGUGGGGGAUGACUCGCGGCCUAUCAGCUUGAUGGUUGGGUAGUGGCCUACCAAGGGGACGACGGGUAGCCGGCCUGAGAGCGCGCCCGGCCAAAGUGGGCGACGAGACGGCCCGAACUCCUACGGGAGGCAGCAGGGGGGAAUAUGGCACAAUGGGGGAAACCCUGAGGCAGCAACGCCGCGUGCGGGAUGACGGCCUUCGGGUUGUAAACCGCUUUCAGCAAUGACGCGGUAGUGGGAGAAGAAGCACCGGCUAACUACGUGCCAGCAGCCGCGGUAAUUC